GAUAUCGGGUACCAUUGCUAGAUGAUUAUUUCGAUUGGUACAGUAAUCAGUUCCUAUGCUACUGGUUUAAGUUCGAAUCUAUGAGGUUAUACACAUUAGAAGUUUCUCUCCGAUCAUGUGGCUAAUCUGAAGAGUCAUAGUGGACGAAAACUCUGGUGAAGAGUCUCACUGGAUGGGGACUCUACUGAAGAGUCCUAUUGGAUGG
rnacentral:lncRNA from 1 species